GAGAAUGACAGAGGAUGAGAGGCAGAAAUGUGGGCGAAGAAGACAAAAGAUGGAUUUAAAAGCAGGAGGGGAAAGGGAAAGAUUUUUUAAAGGGGUGAGGUUGGGAUGAGGAACAGAGGAGAAAUAAAAAAGAAACACAAGGGGGGAUUAUAUUCUCUGAUCAUGCAUACUAUACAUUAUUCACAUCCCCACAUCCUUUCUGGAGGAAGCUCAAUCCAAGUUUUAUUUGCAUGUGCAUCAAAAGAUUCUGUGUGAGGCGAAAAAAAAGGAGUAUUUUUCCAGAGAGGGGAGAAGUCUGGGAACUCUUGUCUUUAAAAUCACAGCAGGUGUACAGUCGCCUGUGGACUUACUACUGUGACCAGAUGUUAAAUCAGACUAAACAGUACAAAGAGUGAUUGUACAAAAUAAUAAAUGCCUUAUCUUUGUGCUCAGAUGCAUCCUGAACUUGACCUUAAAAACCAUCUUUCCACAAGCAAACGGAAAAAAUAUAGAAUUUUCUUAAUUUGAUUGAUAAAACAUAAGGACAAAAAUAUGUUUAGAAGAACAGUCUGUUCUUAUAAACAUGAUUAACUUUUAUGUUUUUGGUUUGAAUCAUUAUAUGAAUAUGUUUUAUUCAUUCGCCUUCAGGAACCUUCGGAUAUUUUACAUCUAUCUCAAUGAAUAGUGACGAGACGCAUAAUAAAAAACGUCUGUUGCGGAUUUCUUUCCCAAAUUAGGUUUUUGAUUCGUUGGAUUUACAAUUUCUUUGCCCACGAAACUUUACAUUUUGAACCGAUGUUCCAAACAAAGCAAUUUGUCACAGAAUAAGACGAAUUUUGGCGACAAAUUCAGUUUUACUACGAUAUGACUCUGCACUCGAACUCAGCACGGUGUAGCUUGUCUGUAUCGACACAGCUGGCGAUAAUUAGCUAAUCAACAAUAGCUAACUUUUCUUCAAUUUUCGGAAUCAAGUCCCCUUCCCCUCUGCAGGGCCUCUCGGGUCAGAGGGACGUUGAUUCGGUGCGCGCAAGCUGUGGGAACCACGACACACUCGCAAAGCCCCGGGCAAAUGCUUCAGAUGCCCCAUGUCCAUAAAAGGUUGCAGUGAAACAUGUGAACGACUAAAAAAGACAAGCAGCGAAAGUUUUCCUCCUGGAGAGGAAUGCAUGACUCGUCCAUUGGGAGAUGUUUCCGCAGAAUCCAGUAACGCAUCACAGUCCCCUGCCUCAGGUGUUCGGGUUGAACCUCUUGCCCUGCCGUAGACACGUCUGGGGACUCUCUCUGCACUGACACAGACACGUGUCGGGAUUUAGGGGCUGAUUCCUGGGACACUCCACCGCGCACACACAACCGCACAGCUCAUCGUCCCACCGCUGUCCGAAAGGACACAGCUUCCCCUCGCCUUGGCCUUCGCACUGGCACUCACCUGAGCACAAAGGUAGGAAGAGGAGGGAGCAGGAGAUCAGAGCAGUGGUUGCACAACCAAAACUUAAUCAGAUGGUGUGUUUCGUGUUCAUACUUGUUUAAAAUUUGCAUAAAGACUAAUUUUUUUUUCUUCUAUCUUGGCCUGAAUCAAUUUGUGGUAUUGACAGUAAGCACUCUCAGUAAAACCUAAAAUAACUGGAAGUUUACAUAAGCAACAAACCAGAUGGAAAUUAAAAUCCAUCCAGAUGGAAAUUCAGUUUAAAGGCUGAAUGCCUUUAAAAAGUAUUUUCCCCCUUGGAAGUUUUACUCUUUUUAUAGUUUAUUCAAGUGAAUUAUUAGCAACAUAAUUUGGCUUUUUUGAUUAAAUAAAAUGUCGAAAAAGCUUUUUUUGCCAAGUGGAAACAUAUUUCCAUGAAAUAUUGACAAUUUAAUAAAAACAUAAAAUAAGUGACUGCAUAUCCCUCCCCAUUUAAGGUGACUGACCUAAUUCAGCAGAGGUCCAACAAACUGGUGCUUGCAGUCAGUGAGUGUCUCUAGUGACUGUACUAUGAAGAGCAUUCAUUGGCUAAUCAGUAUUCCUGGCUACAAAGCAAUAGAAGAUGGUUUAAUUUGAUUUAAACUCAAAUAAACAAUAAAAUAUGGAUCACAAUGGAACACAUGCACUCUUAUUUUAUUUGUCCUGUUUAUUACCUAGCCAGAUCUGAGUUUACCUGAGACUGUUUACUAACUUAUAAUGUAUUUUAUUGAGAUUUUAUGUGCACACAGUGUUGUGUGCACAUAAAAUAUUUUUACCAGUAAUAAUCUCAAAUGUCUUCUGUGCAUUUGUAUUCUGACAAAUUAAAGUUCUGCAUAGUUAA